UGAAAAAUGCAUUUGUUUUUCCUUACACUUGCACCUACACUACGAGUACAUUUUAGGUUUUUGUAGACAACGACACAGCGGUUGGGAAAGCUAAACUACCGGAACGCACGUACACUCUGCUACGCCUGCUGCCACUGUUGCCACUUCGUAAGAAUAUUGUGAUAUCGAUAAUCCUUGACUACUUGACGGAUUUACCAAAAAUAUCUAGGUUCUUAUCACUGGAUUAUUAAAUAAACGCUCACGAUGACCAAA